UACGGGGGGGGCAAGCGUUGUUCGGAAUUACUGGGCGUAAAGGGUUCGUAGGCGGCCAACUAAGUCGGAUGUGAAAUCCCCAAGCUUAACUUGGGAACUGCAUCCGAUACUGGAUGGCUUGAAUCCGGGAGAGGGAUGCAGAAUUCCAGGUGUAGCGGUGAAAUGCGUAGAUAUCUGGAGGAAUACCGGUGGCGAAGGCGGCAUCCUGGACCGGCAUUGACGCUGAGGAGCGAAAGCUAGGGGAGCAAACGGG
rnacentral:rRNA from 1 species